AACUUCGGGAGAAGGUGCGCUGCUGACGGUGAAGGCCUUGCGCCGCAAGCUGUUGGCAGCCGAAGUAACCAGGCCGCUGCGACUGUUUAUUAAAAACACAGCACUCUGCAAACACGAAAGUGGACGUAUAGGGUGUGACGCCUGCCCGGUGCCGGAAGGUUAAUUGAUGGGGUCAGCCGCAAGGCGAAGCUCUUGAUCGAAGCCCCGGUAAACGGCGGCCGUAACUAUAACGGUCCUAAGGUAGCGAAAUUCCUUGUCGGGUAAGUUCCGACCUGCACGAAUGGCGUAACGAUGGCGGCGCUGUCUCCACCAGAGACUCAGUGAAAUCGAAAUCGCGGUGAAGAUGCCGUGUACCCGUGGCUAGACGGAAAGACCCCGUGAACCUUUACUGUAGCUUCACACUGGACUUUGACAUGAUCUGUGUAGGAUAGCUGGGAGGCUUUGAAGUGGUGACGCCAGUUGCCAUGGAGCCGUCCUUGAAAUACCAGCCUGGUCCUGUCGGGGUUCUAACGUCGACCUGUUAUCCAGGUUACGGACAGUGUGUGGUGGGCAGUUUGACUGGGGCGGUCUCCUCCCAAAGAGUAACGGAGGAGCACGAAGGUGCGCUAAUCACGGUCGGAAAUCGUGAGGUUAGUGUAAAGGCACAAGCGCGCUUGACUGCGAGACAGACAAGUCGAGCAGGUACGAAAGUAGGUCUUAGUGAUCCGGUGGUUCUGUAUGGAAGGGCCAUCGCUCAACGGAUAAAAGGUACUCCGGGGAUAACAGGCUGAUACCGCCCAAGAGUUCAUAUCGACGGCGGUGUUUGGCACCUCGAUGUCGGCUCAUCACAUCCUGGGGCUGAAGCCGGUCCCAAGGGUAUGGCUGUUCGCCAUUUAAAGUGGUACGCGAGCUGGGUUUAGAACGUCGUGAGACAGUUCGGUCCCUAUCUGCCAUGGGCGUUGGAGAUUUGAGAAGAGUUGCUCCUAGUACGAGAGGACCGGAGUGAACGAACCUCUGGUGUACCGGUUGUCACGCCAGUGGCAUUGCCGGGUAGCUAAGUUCGGACGGGAUAACCGCUGAAAGCAUCUAAGCGGGAAGCCUCCUUCAAGAUGAGAUCUCCCUGGAGCUUUAAGCUCCCUAAAGGGCCGUCGAAGACUACGACGUUGAUAGGCGAGGUGUGGAAGCGUUGUGAGACGUUGAGCUGACUCGUACUAAUUGCCCGUGCGGCUUGAUC
rnacentral:rRNA from 1 species